GACGAACGCUGGCGGCGUGCUUAACACAUGCAAGUCGAACGGAAAGGCCCUGCUUGCAGGGUACUCGAGUGGCGAACGGGUGAGUAACACGUGGGUGAUCUGCCCUGCACUUCGGGAUAAGCCUGGGAAACUGGGUCUAAUACCGGAUAGGAGCCAUUUUUAGUGUGAUGGUUGGAAAGUUUUUUCGGUGUAGGAUGAGCUCGCGGCCUAUCAGCUUGUUGGUGGGGUAAUGGCCUACCAAGGCGGCGACGGGUAGCCGGCCUGAGAGGGUGGACGGCCACAUUGGGACUGAGAUAAGGCCCAGACUGCUACGGGAGGCAGCAGUGGGGAAUAUUGAACAAUGGGCGCAAGCCUGAUGCAGCGACGCCGCGUGGGGGAUGACGGCCUUAGGGUUGUAAAAUCCUUUCGCUAGGGACGAAGCUUUUUGUGACGGUACCUAGAUAAGAAGCACCGGCUAACUACGUG
rnacentral:rRNA from 1 species